AUUCAAGUAGCUUAAUUUUAGAGUAUGCCAUUGAAGAUGGUAGGGUAAAUAUAUUUUCUUGAAUA
rnacentral:tRNA from 1 species